rnacentral:rRNA from 1 species
AAAGGAAUAGACGGGGGCCCGCACAAGCAGCGGAGCAUGUGGUUUAAUUCGAAGCAACGCGAAGAACCUUACCAGGGCUUGACAUCCCUCUGCCGGGUACAGAGAUGUACUUUUCCUUCGGGACAGAGGAGACAGGUGGUGCAUGGUUGUCGUCAGCUCGUGUCGUGAGAUGUUGGGUUAAGUCCCGCAACGAGCGCAACCCCUAUCUUCAGUUGCCAGCACGUAAAGGUGGGGACUCUGGAGAGACUGCCGGGGACAACUCGGAGGAAGGUGGGGACGACGUCAAAUCAUCAUGCCCCUUAUGUCCUGGGCUACACACGUGCUACAAUGGCCUGCAACAAAGGGAAGCGAAGGCGUAAGCCGGAGCGAAACUCAAAAACCAGGUCUCAGUUCGGAUUGUGGGCUGCAACCCGCCCACAUGAAGUCGGAGUUGCUAGUAAUCGCGAAUCAGCAUGUCGCGGUGAAUACGUUCCCGGGCCUUGUACACACCGCCCGU